rnacentral:misc_RNA from 1 species
GUAGGUGAACCUGCGGAAGGAUCAUUAACACGUAUCCAGACGUUAAAACAACCCUGUGAACCUUCAACGUGUUCUUGCAGGACAUCAAAACAGCAAUCCCGAGCAAAUCAGGCGCUAAAGAAUUACAGAUUUUGAUUUUGGGAAGUUCUGUGUGUACGUGGACGCUGCAUUCGAGCUAGAUGAAGCACCCUGGUAUUCUAGAGCAACCUCCUGUCUGAAAGUGGCAAGGGAUCAAUGUUCAGGGCGGCGCAGUCAACGAUCGCCACACGACCGGCGACCGGGGUGGAGGCGAAAGCCCCUACGUGCCCUCCGGGACUUGGCGAAAGCUGACUCCGUCAUCAAUCGAACAACUGUUAACAAUGGAUAUCUUUGUUCUC